AUGAACGCUGGCGGCGUGCCUAAUACAUGCAAGUCGAGCGAACAGACGAGGAGCUUGCUCCUCUGACGUUAGCGGCGGACGGGUGAGUAACACGUGGAUAACCUACCUAUAAGACUGGGAUAACUUCGGGAAACCGGAGCUAAUACCGGAUAAUAUAUUGAACCGCAUGGUUCAAUAGUGAAAGACGGUUUUGCUGUCACUUAUAGAUGGAUCCGCGCCGCAUUAGCUAGUUGGUAAGGUAACGGCUUACCAAGGCAACGAUACGUAGCCGACUUGAGAGGGUGAUCGGCCACACUGGAACUGAGACACGGUCCAGACUCCUACGGGAGGCAGCAGUAGGGAAUCUUCCGCAAUGGGCGAAAGCCUGACGGAGCAACGCCGCGUGAGUGAUGAAGGUCUUCGGAUCGUAAAACUCUGUUAUUAGGGAAGAACAAAUGUGUAAGUAACUAUGCACGUCUUGACGGUACCUAAUCAGAAAGCCACGGCUAACUACGUG
rnacentral:rRNA from 1 species